rnacentral:lncRNA from 1 species
AUUCCUCUGCAUGCAUAAAGAUCCCGUAUAACCAAAUGCAAGCUCUUUGAAAAGAACGUUGUUUACUUCUUGGAGUAGAGCAGCCUGCAGGAUUGGAAAGCCCGUAAUGUCGUGUUGGAGGAACUUGGCACGUUUCUGGUGAUAGGGAGACAGGGAUCUCAGGGAGUACAAUUCUGGAGCUGUAAGAUGGUUGUGAAUGGCAAAUGGGUCCUGUGCAGGGCAAGGAAGGAAUGCAUCUAUUCACUGCUCUUGUCCCUCCUACGCAGCCUCUCUGAGGGCUCGGCGUUCCCUGUGGUGUCCUAGGGAAUGGCAAGCAUUAACAAACAGCACCCAUUUAUUUGUACUGCUGAGCAUUUGCAUCUUCAAGGACUUACAGGUGUGUCCAGCGCUCCAAACCCAUCCUGUAAUUUCAGAUGUAGUUUUGAGAAGCUGGAGACACACCCUGGUUUGCUCAGUCAAAAGCAGCCCUCUACAGCUGGAGACCUGCGCACUGAGGACGCAGCAACCAGCAGCUGGAAGGUGAGUGCCACCAGUAAUCCUCCAAGCAGGGCUCUGCAAACUGAUACUGUCUUCUCCCGGAGAGGAAUCUAGCUUAACUAUCUGAAUUAUCUCAUGCAAUGAAGUGUUUUGCCAGACUUAGCAGACCCUCAAUAGCUCUGUGUGCUUUGGAUCCAGUUUCAGAUAGGUUUUGUGAAGCGUGUUGAUAUGUGUGAGAUUGUUUGCAAGAUAGUUAUUUGAACGAGCACCUUUCAACUCUCCUAUUUUUAUUUUCGUAGUUAAGUAUUAUUCAUAUUCGAUUUUUCUUGGCUGAAAUAAGGUGAUUCCUUGUGUGCAUGGGCACCCUAAAGACCUCUGCAGAAAUGUUACCUUUGCUCCCGCGGCUUGGCUUCCUCCUUUUUGGUUGGUUGGCUGGCAGCUGAUCCAGCUUCUGCUGAGAGAUACCUGUGCUCCAGCUCCCCUGUCAAUGAAACUGCCGUGUGUGCUUCAGUGAAAAGUCUCCCAGACAAAUUCGUUUGCUACCUGAGCCCCUCUGCAGUGAGCAACCUGAGCAGAGACGAGGCUUUAAGCUUGGCCCGCAGGAUCACCAAGAACUGCCCGUUGAAAGUGACACACAGAGGAAUAAACGGAGAGCGAGCUCCCUCCUUCCUGACAACAGAGGAACUGCAGGUUGCAUCUUCUUUGGUGAGCAAGUUUGAGCAUUUCACUCCUGCAAUCCUGCGUGAAUUGGGCCAGGUUGCUGUUGGGCUGUCUGUAUCCGACAUCGAAAAUAAAAUAAGUGAUGAAGACCUUGAAGCAUCUCUUCCUGCCCUGGGUGAAGUUCGUGGCUGGAAUGCUGACCAGUCCAGUGCUAUUAUCAAUAAACUGCUCCGCUCUGGCUAUCAGAUUUCAGAUGGACAGAGCCUGGCAAAGCUGGGGAGCUUGGUGGCUGGCCUCAGCAGCAGCACGCUUCGAAGUCUCCCUCCAGAAGUGAUCUUGGAAGCCAUUAAGUUGCCUGAGUUUGUCCAGCAGUUGGUGACCCUGCCCUCUGCUC